GAUACCGCCUAAGUACCGCGCAAGCGGUACCGGUAAGGGUGAAAUGGUGCGGUAAGAGCGCACCGCGCGGGUGGCAACAUCAGCGGCACGGCAAACCCCACCUGAAGCAAGACCAAAUAGGGAAGCAAGCGGCGCUUUUUGGCCGCAGUGUGUGGCCCACAUAUAGGCUUCCGGGUAGGUCGCUAGAGGUGCGCGGCGACGCGCAUCCCAGAGGAAUGACUGCCCACGACAGAACCCGGCUUAACGGCCGACUCCUUUC
rnacentral:RNase_P_RNA from 1 species